UAAAAUGAGAGUUUGAUCCUGGCUCAGGACGAACGCUGGCGGCGUGCCUAAUACAUGCAAGUCGAGCGAGCGGAACUAACAGAUUUACUUCGGUAAUGACGUUAGGAAAGCGAGCGGCGGAUGGGUGAGUAACACGUGGGGAACCUGCCCCAUAGUCUGGGAUACCACUUGGAAACAGGUGCUAAUACCGGAUAAGAAAGCAGAUCGCAUGAUCAGCUUUUAAAAGGCGGCGUAAGCUGUCGCUAUGGGAUGGCCCCGCGGUGCAUUAGCUAGUUGGUAAGGUAAAGGCUUACCAAGGCGAUGAUGCAUAGCCGAGUUGAGAGACUGAUCGGCCACAUUGGGACUGAGACACGGCCCAAACUCAUACGGGAGGCAGCAGUAGGGAAUCUUCCACAAUGGACGCAAGUCUGAUGGAGCAACGCCGCGUGAGUGAAGAAGGUUUUCGGAUCGUAAAGCUCUGUUGUUGGUGAAGAAGGAUAGAGGUAGUAACUGGCCUUUAUUUGACGGUAAUCAACCAGAAAGUCACGGCUAACUACGUGCCAGCAGCCGCGGUAAUACGUAGGUGGCAAGCGUUGUCCGGAUUUAUUGGGCGUAAAGCGAGCGCAGGCGGAAGAAUAAGUCUGAUGUGAAAGCCCUCGGCUUAACCGAGGAACUGCAUCGGAAACUGUUUUUCUUGAGUGCAGAAGAGGAGAGUGGAACUCCAUGUGUAGCGGUGGAAUGCGUAGAUAUAUGGAAGAACACCAGUGGCGAAGGCGGCUCUCUGGUCUGCAACUGACGCUGAGGCUCGAAAGCAUGGGUAGCGAACAGGAUUAGAUACCCUGGUAGUCCAUGCCGUAAACGAUGAGUGCUAAGUGUUGGGAGGUUUCCGCCUCUCAGUGCUGCAGCUAACGCAUUAAGCACUCCGCCUGGGGAGUACGACCGCAAGGUUGAAACUCAAAGGAAUUGACGGGGGCCCGCACAAGCGGUGGAGCAUGUGGUUUAAUUCGAAGCAACGCGAAGAACCUUACCAGGUCUUGACAUCUAGUGCCAUUUGUAGAGAUACAAAGUUCCCUUCGGGGACGCUAAGACAGGUGGUGCAUGGCUGUCGUCAGCUCGUGUCGUGAGAUGUUGGGUUAAGUCCCGCAACGAGCGCAACCCUUGUUAUUAGUUGCCAGCAUUAAGUUGGGCACUCUAAUGAGACUGCCGGUGACAAACCGGAGGAAGGUGGGGAUGACGUCAAGUCAUCAUGCCCCUUAUGACCUGGGCUACACACGUGCUACAAUGGGCAGUACAACGAGAAGCGAGCCUGCGAAGGCAAGCGAAUCUCUGAAAGCUGUUCUCAGUUCGGACUGCAGUCUGCAACUCGACUGCACGAAGCUGGAAUCGCUAGUAAUCGCGGAUCAGCACGCCGCGGUGAAUACGUUCCCGGGCCUUGUACACACCGCCCGUCACACCAUGGGAGUCUGCAAUGCCCAAAGCCGGUGGCCUAACCUUCGGGAAGGAGCCGUCUAAGGCAGGGCAGAUGACUGGGGUGAAGUCGUAACAAGGUAGCCGUAGGAGAACCUGCGGCUGGAUCACCUCCUUU
rfam:Lactobacillus crispatus ST1 complete genome, strain ST1